rnacentral:rRNA from 1 species
GAUGAACGCUGGCGGCGUGCUUAACACAUGCAAGUCGAACGAUGAAGCCCAGCUUGCUGGGUGGAUUAGUGGCGAACGGGUGAGUAACACGUGAGUAACCUGCCCUUAACUCUGGGAUAAGCCUGGGAAACUGGGUCUAAUACCGGAUAGGAGCGUCCACCGCAUGGUGGGCGUUGGAAAGAUUUAUCGGUUUUGGAUGGACUCGCGGCCUAUCAGCUUGUUGGUGAGGUAAUGGCUCACCAAGGCGACGACGGGUAGCCGGCCUGAGAGGGUGACCGGCCACACUGGGACUGAGACACGGCCCAGACUCCUACGGGAGGCAGCAGUGGGGAAUAUUGCACAAUGGGCGCAAGCCUGAUGCAGCGACGCCGCGUGAGGGAUGACGGCCUUCGGGUUGUAAACCUCUUUCAGUAGGGAAGAAGCGAAAGUGACGGUACCUGCAGAAGAAGCACCGGCUAACUACGUG